CUCGUGUCGUGAGAUGUUGGGUUAAGUCCCGCAACGAGCGCAACCCUAUUGUUAGUUGCCAUCAUUCAGUUGGGCACUCUAGCGAGACUGCCGGUAAUAAACCGGAGGAAGUGGGGAUGACGUCAAAUCAUCAUGCCCUUAUGACCUGGGCUACACACGUGCUACAAUGGUUGGUACAACGAGUUGCGAGUCGGUGACGGCGAGCUAAUCUCUUAAAGCCAAUCUCAGUUCGGAUUGUAGGCUGCAACUCGCCUACAUGAAGUCGGAAUCGCUAGUAAUCGCGGAUCAGCACGCCGCGGUCGAAUACGUUCCCGGGCCUU
rnacentral:rRNA from 1 species